rnacentral:rRNA from 1 species
UAGGGAAUCUUCCGCAAUGGACGCAAGUCUGACGGAGCAACGCCGCGUGAGUGAAGAAGGAUUUCGGUUCGUAAAACUCUGUUGUUAGAGAAGAACAGCGCAUAGAGUAACUGUUAUGCGUGUGACGGUACCUAACCAGAAAGCCACGGCUAAUUACGUGCCAGCAGCCGCGGUAAUACGUAGGUGGCAAGCGUUGUCCGGAUUUAUUGGGCGUAAAGCGAGCGCAGGCGGUCAAUUAAGUCUGAUGUGAAAGCCCCCGGCUCAACCGGGGAGGGUCAUUGGAAACUGGUUGACUUGAGUGCAGAAGAGGAGGGUGGAAUUCCAUGUGUAGCGGUGAAAUGCGUAGAUGUAUGGAAGAAAACCAGUGGCGAGGGCGACUCUCUGGUCUGUAACUGACGCUGAGGUUCGAAAGCGUGGGUAGCAAACAGG